UAACUGAACUACAAUAACGUUACUUGUGACCUGCCAAGCAGUGUUUACACCGAGUCACCUUAUGUAGUUGUAGUAUUCAGUUCACACCAGGAGGCUGGCAUGAAAGCCCUCACCAGGCGACUCCCUGGUUGCAGGUAGGUCUCCAAAGCAUGCUUAGGUACUACUUGUAGUAGUCGGGGCAAAGGCAAAGUUCACAUCGGACAUGUCGCGCCAUCUUCCAGACGCGCGCACAAGGGUGUGAAUCAGGGAAGUCGUGUGAACAUCGCUACCUUGGCCACUCUGUGCCGGUGGGAUAUAAUGGAAGGACUACCCUCGAACGUUGCACAACUGGUCAAGCGUCUCACCAGCAGGACGGCGAAUUCCCCUCUCCGACUACUCUCUGGUUUGCCGAGGAAUCAUCUCAGCCUGAGAAGGAUGGUGAGCUGCUCUCCCUGACCGGAAUCAUCCUCUUCCAUCCUCCAUUGCAUUGGACGGCGGGAUGGACGCUGGGCCUGGCUAUGACCGGCGUUACAGUCUUCGCUUGGAAGUCGACAUGAACACACAAUGCAAAGCCGGGUUUUGUAAACACUCGCCUUGAAGUACUAUGGGAACCACAUCCUCUCCGAACCACGUGAAUCCUAGCGGCAAUUUAUCCCCUCGGCUAUACCCGCCAUCCUGUCCUCCAUUCUUAGGUCAGUGUCCACGUGCAGGGGCAACAAUGCAAGACAUGCAGGUGCAACAAUGCAAGACUGAAGGUUCUGCCGCCGAACUGUGAACAGAGCGCGUCCUCUAGUAGCCCAGCAAUCCUUCUCAGUGGCUUGCUGUUUGCACCCCGCUCCCGCUCGUACAUUUUGGCAAGUAACUGGCCUUCCAUGUAGACACUAAGUUUAGAGUUGUCCAACGUGUAUUGCCAAUUGAAGCUUUGAAUGUGUUUUAUUCUGCACAGUGCCUGUGUUCUACUUGCGGACAUUGGCGUGGCCACAUUUACAUGACACAUGAUUAUACGAAAUAAGGACCAUUCUAGCUCCUCACUAAAUUGCUCUUCAAUAAAUUUGAAUUAUAUAUCGGUGAUGAAAAUCUCUGAUACGUAAUACCUUUUCUUCAUUUGCUGCCUCUUGACUUCAUUCCAAAUUCAUUACUUGGUGUGAAUAUUCAUCUCAAAACUUGUAAUUAUUAAUCAACCAUAUGUUGGCAUGGCACCAGUCGUCCCUAGCCUACUUGUUUU